AACGAACGCUGGCGGCAGGCCUAACACAUGCAAGUCGAACGCGUGUAGCAAUACACGAGUGGCGCACGGGUGAGUAACACGUGGGAAUCAACCCAGAGGUUCGGAAUAACCGCGGGAAACUGCGGCUAAUACCGGAUAUCCCCUACGGGGGAAAGAUUUAUCGCCUUUGGACGAGCCCGCGUCCGAUUAGCUAGGUUGGUGAGGUAACGGCUAACCAAGGCUACGAUCGGUAGCUGGUCUGAGAGGAUGACCAGCCACACUGGAACUGAGAUACGGUCCAGACUCCUACGGGAGGCAGCAGUGGGGAAUAUUGGGCAAUGGAGGCAACUCUGACCCAGCCAUGCCGCGUGGGUGACGAAGGUCUUCGGAUUGUAAAGCCCUUUCGGCGGGGACGAUGAUGACGGUACCCGCAGAAGAAGCCCCGGCUAACUUCGUGCCAGCCGCCGCGGUAAGAC
rnacentral:rRNA from 1 species